rnacentral:tmRNA from 1 species
GGGGAUGAAAGGCCUCGACAGGUCAUUGACGCAUUAAAAAUCGAGCCGAGGACGGUAGGUCACCUCGUAAAUCAUCCAACCGACAAUAAGUGCAAACUUAUUUAACCGACAACCGGCAUUCGCAUACGCGUAAUGCCUGAGUCGUUCCUUGUGUCUUCGGACACGGGGCAUCGCCGCACCUGACGCGUGAUCGGGUGCAUCAGCGGUGUUAUACAUUCAUGCUUGGCGGAAUAUGCCGAUUGACGUAUCCGCGACAUACAUCAAUCAAAGAUACGGAAUAUUUGCCGGGUUUCAAGUUCUGUAUCUUCUUUUUAAUCCGGCUACGCUCGCAAACAUUUUUAAUGCCGAAUGAUUUGGACGCGGGUUCAACUCCCGCCAUCUCCACCA